GUAAGUUUUAUGAUUAAGCUACUAAGGGCGUACGGUGGAUGCCUUGGCGCCAGAAGGCGAUGAAGGACGUGGCAAGCUGCGAUAAGCCCCGGGGAGCCGCAAGCAGGCUUUGAUCCGAGGAUGUCCGAAUGGGGAAACCCGGCGGGAUGAACUCCCGUUA
rnacentral:rRNA from 1 species